GUGCCCAUUGGAGCCAAUCAGCUGAGUACAUAAUACAGAAUGAGGAGGAAAGAGACCAGCUACGAAACACCAAAAAUAACUGCUUGGUGCACUGAUAAUUGCGUUAUUCUCUGCUUUUCCACCACUCGCAUUAGCUCUGGGGGAAGGAAACAUCCUGCUUCCCUAAGUCGAACACUUUAUUGCCAACCUGAAACGAUUUCAGGAUUGGCUUCCAGAGGUGGAAGCAGCACAGCCGCGUGCACAGCGUUGCAAGUGUGCAGACAGCGGGCUCUCAGCAUCCUGCAAUUCUCCUCAAGGUCCCAGGGGAUGUUCUCCCGUCACCUGGCUCAGACACAGUCACCUGAGCACACCUGGCAGGGGGCCCAGGGCCACCCAAGACGAUUGCAGCCUUUAAUCAAUGGCCAGCCUGCUGGGCAGCCGCAUCCUCUCGUCCAGCCCUCAGGUCAUGUAAACUUCCCAGUGGCCACACUUAAGAAGUGAAAAGAACCAGGGGAAGUGAGCCCCAAUCAGAUAUGUAAACAUCAUAUCCAUUGUAUUGUUUCAACAUGGAACUGAUAUAAACAUUCUCACCGAGGCAG
ensembl:lncRNA